rnacentral:rRNA from 1 species
GGUAGCUGGUCCGAAGAGGAUGAGCAGCCCCACUGGGACUGAGACACGGCCCAGACUCUACGGGAGGCAGCAGUGGGGAAUUUCGCAUGGCGAAAGCUGACGAGCAACGCGCGUGUGGGAAGAAGGCUCUGGGCUGUCAACCACUUUUCUCAGGGAAGAAUUACUGACGGUACCUGAGGAAUCAGCCUCGGCUAACUCCGUGCCAGCAGCCGCGGUAAUACGGAGGAGGCAAGCGUUAUCCGGAAUUAUUGGGCGUAAAGCGUCCGCAGGGGGCGCAUCAAGUCUGCUGUUAAAGGCCCGAGCUUAACUCCGGUAGAGCAGUGGAAACUGGUGCGCUAGAGGGCGACAGGGGUAGAGGGAAUUCCCAGUGUAGCGGUGAAAUGCGUAGAGAUUGGGAAGAACACCGGUGGCGAAAGCGCUCUACUGGGUCGCACCUGACCCUCAGGGACGAAAGCUAAGGUAGCGAAAGGGAUUAGAUACCCCUGUAGUCUUAGCCGUAAACGAUGGAUACUAGGCGUGGCUUGUAUCGACCCAAGCCGUGCCGAAGCUAACGCGUUAAGUAUCCCGCCUGGGGAGUACGCACGCAAGUGUGAAACUCAAAGGAAUUGACGGGGGCCCGCACAAGCGGUGGAGGAUGUGGUUUAAUUCGAUGCAACGCGAAGAACCUUACCAGGGCUUGACAGACCGCGAAUCUUCCGGAAAGGGAAGAGUGCCUUCGGGAGCGCGGACACAGGUGGUGCAUGGCUGUCGUCAGCUCGUGUCGUGAGAUGUUGGGUUAAGUCCCGCAACGAGCGCAACCCUCGUCCUUAGUUGCCAGCAUUAAGUUGGGCACUCUAGGGAGACUGCCGGUGACAAACCGGAGGAAGGCGAGGAUGACGUCAAGUCAGCAUGCCCCUUAUGCUCUGGGCUACACACGUCCUACAAUGGUCGGGACAAAGGGGAGCGAGCUCGCGAGAGUCAGCGAAUCCCAUCAAACCCGACCUCAGUUCAGAUUGCAGGCUGCAACUCGCCUGCAUGAAGGAGGAAUCGCUAGUAAUCGCAGGUCAGCAUACUGCGGUGAAUUCGUUCCCGGGCCUUGUACACACCGCCCGUCACACCAUGGAAGCUGGCCAAGCCCGAAGUCGUUACCCUAACCUUC